CUGAGGAGCUGCAGCCAGGAAGUGAUUUACAGGAGAAACGACUCCAAACAUCAAAACAGCUGCUGAUUCAUUUCCUGUCAGUCGACUAAUCGACUCAGCUGAACUUGUAUAAACUGUUGGGUGUGACCAUAUGGACAUGUGGAGAGUCUGACCCUGAGUCAUCACACAACAGUAGGGUCAGUCCUGCCCCCCCACACCAGAAGGUCUCAGGUUCGAUUCCCACAACAUGUCUGUUAAAGGUCUCUAAAUAUAUAAAUAAAUAAAUAAAUAAAUAAAUAAAAUAGAGUUAAACAUGAUAAAAUGAUGAUUUAAAGUAAGAUAGUAAAAUAAACGUAAAGAUUAUGAAUCUGACCAGACAAUCAAUGCCAACGUUUUCAGUGCUUGACCCAGCACUAUAUGUUUGAGAAAUAGAAAAGAUCCUUUUUGUUUGUUGAGCAAAAGACGUCAAAGUUGUCAAAUGAAUUUAAAAGCAACAAAGUUUUUGAUUUGAAUCAAAAACUAUCAGAUGAACAAAUCAGUCAACAACAUUGUGAAUCUCAGAUGUUUGAUGUCGACAUUUAUUACCUCAUAGUUUUCUAAACUUGGUGCUACAGACACGUUUGGGUCGGUGCUCGAGCUAGACCGAUAAAUGGGUCAGGUCGCUAAAUCAUCAGAUAUCAGCUCAUUGCAGGUAGUUUAUCAGUAUCGGUGUUUAUGUCAGCUGAUAAAUGAGAACUGCCAAACUAAGUUUGAGGUCAUUUAGUGAAAGUUUGUCCACCAGAGCUCUGGCAGGUUGAUGUUUCCACUGUAAGAUCCUCUGUGAUUGUUUGUUACGUGUUUUAUGUUUCUGAUUUUUUAAAAUUUUAUUUCCAAAUAUCAACAUCAGUGUCAGCCUCAAAAUCCAGCAUCAGUCAGGGCUGCAGUUGGAUACGGAGUUUAAUUUACGAUGUUUUGUAACCCUUAAAAUAAAGAGGGUACAGCAGAGAGAUGCAAUAUCACAUUAACAUUGUGCAGUCCCAGGAAGGGAUGGGUGAAAUGGCCAAAAUCUUCUACCAAGGUAUGUGUAAUUUUACACCAUGGUAACAGUAUAUAUCAUGAUACAGUAAUUGUUCUGUAAAUUCAGUUAAGAAAUGGUUUAAAAUAACCGUACCGUACUUCAUCACAUUAGAUUAUUUUCUUUUAUUAGGAGCUUCUGUACAAACAGCAGCAGCCUCUCAUGAAAAACAAAAGACUCAAUCAAAACCGUAAUGGAAGCUUUAAGGAUCCAAAUACCAACAAUCAUUUCAAGUGGCCAAGCGGCAACCUCCGGGGCUGAAAACUGAAGCCAACAGGAAGUGCCAAGAACUGCAGUUCCUCGAAUGGCCACUUGAGGCUGCCUCCAAAAGCAAGUCAGUCCCCACAGAGCCCCGUGUUAAAAUGCCCAACUGUACAGCAGAAAUAAACGUUUACAGCCUGGUACAAAAAACGCUUUGGGUGACAUCAUCUACACUCGUGUGUCUCGCUUUCGUGGCGUCACACUCAUCGUCCGUAAAAGUCAACCAUGGCGAAACGAACCAUUGACAAAUUUUUUCCAUCGGCGGCUCCUCCUGUACCAGAGCCAGGCCCGUCGCAGCAGCAAAUGGCAGAGUUGGUCAGAUGAGGCCGUGGCGAAAAAGGCAAGAACACACUGUUUCCGACAGGGGCGGCUCAGGGAGUUUACGUGGCUUAGAUUUAGCAAAAACAGCAGCGCCAUGAACCAUCUACUGCACCAGAUGUGGUCCACAACAUGCGGGGAAACCAGGUUUGCCGAGGCAACUGGCACCGCACAGUUUAAACACGACACCUUAAUGAAGCACAGCAGCAGCAAAUGCACACAAUACACAAAUGAAACGGCAUCGCCACUUGCAGUAGCAUUUCUCAUUCAGUCAUCCGAUGAGGCUGAAAUGGUAGUGAAAUUCAGCGCGGCCUAUUUCAUAGCUAAGCACGAGCUACCGUUCGCCAAAUUCAGGGGUCACGUUGAAUUGUUGAAAAAGAACGGCGUAAAAGUGAAUCCUACGCGCAGUAAGGACACCGCACGUGGGCAGUUCAUUGGCGCUGUUGCAGAUUCACUCAAACAGAAGACCCGUGAAGAUCAAGGACGCCACAUACCUCUCAUUCAUGAUCGAUGGCGGCACGGAUGUUUCAACUAAAGAAUGUGAAACAAUGUACGAAAGGAUCCUGCGACGAAUAUUUUGAUUGGCCACGUGGAAGUCCAGCGUGCACGUGCUCAAGGUACGUAACUGAUAAAGCAAAUAAUUAGAGUGCAGUUUAGUGCUUACUCAGAAUAACAGUCACGUGAAAGACUACACUAAUGAAGCCGUUUCUGUGCUGUCAGGUUUGGUUUUUAGCCUAAAUGAAAUAUGUAUCGUUUGUAGACGCCACAACGAUCAAACUGUUCAGUGAGAUGACGGGAGAAAGAAAGGGUUCCUGUCUGCUGGUGGGUUUGGUGUACAGUGAAUACCGUUCAGAUCAACUUUAGCUGUGCACAGUUAUAGAUAACGUGUUAUUUCAAGGAGUCUAUGAUGCCACCAAAGAGGCCUUUCGCCAUCUAGGGACAGAGACAGGAGACAGGCUGGUUAGAGAAGACAGUCGCCAUGGGAGCUGCAGUCAGUCUUGGGCGUCAGGGAGGUGUAAUAUCCCUCCUCCAAGCUUUUACUGUCCCGUUCCAUUGCACAUAGAUUGGAACUGCUGUCCGUCCAAAGUCCCCACUGUUGACCGAGUCUACAGUCUCUGUAACAUGGUAUGGAAGAUGUCCCGCUACAUGCGUGAGUGCGCUCAGAGCCCUCGGAGAGGAGCUGGCGUGCGCGUCAGUGCCUCGGUGGUGUUAGUGGGACACGCUGGCGCCCACAUGUAACCCGGGCCCUGCAAACCUUACUGAGACCUGGAGGAAAGGGCCGGAGCCUACAGAACCCGGGACAGUUCACAGCAGUCUGCUUCCACAUGGAACGUUUGACUGCAUCGUCGAGCAAGGAAGGUCUGUAUUUAACUUUUAAAAUCAGUUCAUAUUUCGGAUCUGUAAACACGGCUGAUAUUUUGCUUAUGUCCUGCGGGGCAAGAGGAUGAUGGAAGAUGGAACCUUUUGUAGGUUUCUGUGACUUCCUGGCCGACUCGUUUGAGGCCAUCAGCAAAUUCAGCCUUCUCCUUCACAGGAAUGACACCAUCUUGCCUCAGGAAAGUGUUUCAGCGGGAUUGAACAUGUGGUAGGCUGGCAGAGCUCAGGCCCAGAAACAAAGGCAGGGCGAUGAUGGUGAGACUCACCCCAUCUACAAAUAUCAGAUGAAGAGUCCACAGCAACUGCAACCUUAAAGGCAGUGAAGUCAUUCAAGAUCUUCAGUCCUGAUUCAUGACAGACCAUCUGGACUUCCUGCUGGACCACUUCUCCACCGUGUUAACAAGGUCACUGACUCUUUAAAUCAUCCUGGCGGAGCAUGUAAAAGGCAGUAUAACAAAGAACACAAUGUCACACACCUAACUCCAUCCUACAGAAGCUUCGAUUGUUUCUUGAUCUUAACUCCUUAACGGCUGUGACACCAGUCUGGCCAGAGAGGAGUAUCAGUCUAUGGAGAUCUCCAGAAACUACAUCCUACCAGGCCAUAUUGCCGUUCUGCUCUAGAAGGUACAAACCCCGUCUCCUCUGCUGUGUGUGAACGGGGAUUUUCAGCACAGAAGAGGAUUAAAUCUGAUGUCAGAGGGCCCCUGCAUGCAGCCACAGCGGAGGACCUCGUUAGAAUAAGUAUGGAGGGACCUAGCUUGGACGAGUUGGACACCAAGGAGGCUGGACAGACCUGGUUCAGUCAGGGCAAAAGACGAAGGAGGAAGGAGAGGCUCGGGCUGUUGACUUGUUCUGACGCUGUAAUGUGUAAAGUGACCGCUGACCUCAUGUUUACAUGUAAUGUCUUUGUUUUGGUUUGCACUGUAAUGUCAGUAAUAAUACUGUGUGCACAUUUCUGAAUGUGCAUUUGUUAAGCACCAUUCAAUUAAAAUGUGACAAAACAGCA